rnacentral:rRNA from 1 species
GUACCCUGGUAGUCCACGCUGUAAACGAUGUCGACUUGGAGGUUGUUCCCUUGAGGAGUGGCUUCCGGAGCUAACGCGUUAAGUCGACCGCCUGGGGAGUACGGCCGCAAGGUUAAAACUCAAAUGAAUUGACGGGGGCCCGCACAAGCGGUGGAGCAUGUGGUUUAAUUCGAUGCAACGCGAAGAACCUUACCUACUCUUGACAUCCAGAGAACUUAGCAGAGAUGCUUUGGUGCCUUCGGGAACUCUGAGACAGGUGCUGCAUGGCUGUCGUCAGCUCGUGUUGUGAAAUGUUGGGUUAAGUCCCGCAACGAGCGCAACCCUUAUCCUUUGUUGCCAGCGAUUCGGUCGGGAACUCAAAGGAGACUGCCAGUGAUAAACUGGAGGAAGGUGGGGAUGACGUCAAGUCAUCAUGGCCCUUACGAGUAGGGCUACACACGUGCUACAAUGGCAUAUACAAAGAGAAGCGACCUCGCGAGAGCAAGCGGACCUCAUAAAGUAUGUCGUAGUCCGGAUUGGAGUCUGCAACUCGACUCCAUGAAGUCGGAAUCGCUAGUAAUCGUGGAUCAGAAUGCCACGGUGAAUACGUUCCCGGGCCUUGUACACACCGCCCGUCACACCAUGGGAGUGGGUUGCAAAAGAAGUAGGUAGC